GGGAGGCAGCAGUGGGGAAUAUUGGGCAAUGGGCGAAAGCCUGACCCAGCCACGCCGCGUGAGUGAUGAAGGCCUUCGGGUCGUAAAGCUCUGUGGGGAGGGACGAAUAAGCCGGCCAACUACCGGCCCUGACGGUACCUCCUUAGCAAGCACCGGCUAACCAUGUGCCAGCAGCCGCGGUAAUACAUGGGGUGCAAACGUUGCUCGGAAUUAUUGGGCGUAAAGCGCGCGUAGGCGGUCGCUUAAGUCGGAUGUGAAAUCCCUCGGCUUAACUGAGGAAGUGCAUCCGAGACUGAAUGGCUAGAGUACGAAAGAGGGUCGCGGAAUUCCCGGUGUAGAGGUGAAAUUCGUAGAUAUCGGGAGGAACACCGGCGGCGAAGGCGGCGACCUGGUUCGAGACUAACGCUGAGGCGCGAAAGCGUGGGGAGCAAACAGGAUUAGAAACCCCGGCAGUCCG
rnacentral:rRNA from 1 species